rnacentral:rRNA from 1 species
AGUGAGGAAUAUUGGGCAAUGGGCGAAAGUCUGACCCAGCCAUGUCGCGUGCAGGAAGACGGUUCUACGAAUUGUAAACUGCUUUUCUAUGGGGAGAAACACAGGGACGUGUCCCUGUCUGCCUGUACCAUAGGAAUAAGCAUCGGCUAACUCCGUGCCAGCAGCCGCGGUAAUACGGAGGAUGCGAGCGUUAUCCGGAUUCAUUGGGUUUAAAGGGUGCGUAGGCGGAUUGGUAAGUCAGGGGUGAAAGUUUGCCGCUCAACGGUAAAAUAGCCUUUGAUACUGUCAAUCUUGAGUGAACGCGAGGUAUGCGGAAUGAGUAGUGUAGCGGUGAAAUGCUUAGAUAUUACUCAGAACACCGAUUGCGAAGGCAGCAUACUAGAGUUCAACUGACGCUGAUGCACGAAAGCGUGGGUAGCGAACAGGAUUAGAUACCCUGGUAGUCCACGCCGUAAACGAUGGUCACUAGCUGUAUGCGAUAUAUUGUAUGUGGCAAAGCGAAAGCAUUAAGUGACCCACCUGGGGAGUACGUUGGCAACGAUGAAACUCAAAGGAAUUGACGGGGGCCCGCACAAGCGGUGGAACAUGUGGUUUAAUUCGAUGAUACGCGAGGAACCUUACCCGGGCUUAAAUGUAGGCUGCAUAGAUCAGAGAUGGUCUUUUCUUCGGACUGCUUACAAGGUGCUGCAUGGUUGUCGUCAGCUCGUGCCGUGAGGUGUCGGGUUAAGUCCCAUAACGAGCGCAACCCCUAUCGUUAGUUGCCAUCAGGUGAAGCUGGGGACUCUAACGAGACUGCCGGUGUAAACCGCGAGGAAGGUGGGGAUGACGUCAAAUCAGCACGGCCCUUACGUCCGGGGCUACACACGUGUUACAAUGGCCGGUACAAAGGGCAGCUACCCCGCGAGGGGAUGCGAAUCUCAAAAACCGGUCACAGUUCGGAUCGGAGUCUGCAACCAGACUCCGUGAAGCUGGAAUCGCUAGUAAUCGCGCAUCAGACGGGGCGCGGUGAAUACGU